GACGAACGCUGGCGGCGUGCUUAACACAUGCAAGUCGAACGGAAAGGCCCUGCUCUUGUGGCGUGCUCGAGUGGCGAACGGGUGAGUAACACGCGAGUAACCUGCCCUUGACUUUGGGAUAACUUCAGGAAACUGGGGCGAAUACCGGAUAGGAGCUCUUGCUGCACGGUGGGGGUUGGAAAGUUUCGGUGGUUGUGGAUGGUCUCGCGGCUUAUCAGCUGGUUGGUGGGGUAGUGGCUUACCAAGGCUUUGACGGAUAGCCUGCCUGUGAGGGUGACCGGCCACCAUGGGACUGAGAUACGGCCCAGAAUGCUACGGGACGCAGCAGUGGGGAGUAUUGCGCAAUGAGCGGACGCGAGAUGCAGCGACGCCGCGUGCGGAAUAACGGGCUUCGGGUUAUGAACAGCUUUGGAAUGUGCCGAGGAGUGAGUGACGGUAAUGGGUAAAGAAGCACCGGCUAACUACGUG
rnacentral:rRNA from 1 species